CAUUUGCUGGGGUAUAUGUUAAUUUUUAAUUCUCUGGUGAAUACUUCAAUUAUUUUCUUUUUGUAGUUGAAACUCCCAAUUGAAGUUGUUGAAACUAUAGAGAAACCACAAGAAGAGCUUUUCUUCUUGGCUUGUGAUCAACUAUGAUGUUUCGCGGAGCUUUCCAGGUUAUUUUCUUACUAUUUUUUUCCUUCUCAUUAUACUGAUGGAUUUACUGUUCAGGUGAAGUGCAUGUCUUCAAAUUAUUUACUGUCAUUGAAUGUAUCAUAUACUUUCUUGGUAAAUCAGUUUGCUAGACACGUAUAUUCUAUCUAUAUUGAUCAUGUGUAAGGUCUUGAUAAUGUGCAUAAUUUGUGCAUAAUUUUAGGUGGCUUAAGGGUAGCUUACAUUUUGGACCUUUGGAAGAUACCUAUAUGGGUAAUAUUAGCAACUUGAAUCAGUAGUCAAAACAGGUUAGAGCUUUCAAUACUUUGUCCUUAAUAUACUAAGGCUGUUGGGAUUUGUCCAAUUUUUAUUUUGGUGAAGUUGAUUCUUUUAACCAGAAACAUUUAUUUUUAUACCGUCAGAUAUCUCUCAUUUCGUUUAUAUGUACAUUGGUUCAAGUUUGUUUUUGUGAAGCACUUCCUUCAAAUAUCCUUUAGUUUGUUUUGUGAAAGUUUAAAGUUGAUAGAUUCCAAAUUUGUGACUGCAUUUGAAGGUAUUGACUGUUUUUAUAUGUAAAAGAGGAAAGGGAGAAUACAAAAUUGUGUUUCCCCUGCUCUUCUUAAAACUACUCUUUCAACAGAAAUAGUAGUUGAAGUUUAUUUCUUUGGUUUCAUCUGUUUUACGUACAUUAUAAUUUCCAAAGAAAGUAAUGAAAUUUAGCUUACGAUAUUUACUAAUUUUGCAACUUUUUUUUAUUAACUGGAUAAUUCAAGAGUUUGUUGUACAUUAUCUCAAAUGAUCUUUCCAAAAGCUGAUUUGUAAAUGCAGAGUUGCACUUCCUCAGUUGAGGUGAGGAGUAUAUGAUACCCAAUAUUUUGUCGCAAUGACAAAUGCAGUCAUUUGUUCUUAUGAUUUAGCAUGAAUAGAAUAUCAACUUGCUUAUCUGUAAAUAUCCUUCAAGAAAGCUCUUCAAAUUUUUUAAUGACUAUGGAAUUCACAGCUAUUUCAGGGUAAUAGCAUGCAAAUCACAAAUUUGAGGUAGCCACAUUAAACAAGUCAUGUGUGACAAGUUCGACCGAGAAAGCAUGUAAGGAGUUUUGAACUUGAGACCUCUCAUUUGGGAGGUUCCCCGCUCCCCAUAAGGCUCAUGGUCGGAAGAUUGCAAGUUCAAAUCGUGUCCCCACCUAAUCAGUGGAGUUACAACCACAUAAAGAAUGAGUACUCUGUUCUUAUUUCAUUGUACAUAAUAUUUUUUGUCAGCCAUCAAUUAAUAGUCCUAAUUAUAUAAAAGAUAUAAUCUAUUUCCUAAUUUUCCAAAUAUUAGCCCAUCGCUUCUUGUAAGCCUCUUAAAUUAGGCCUAAGAGAAGGAAAUGAAUUUUUAGAAAACUCAAAGGUGCAAAUUCAUAGUGCACGCUUGCAGGCAGUCUCAAUUAUCAUAGAUUUUUUCACCUUAGGCUUUGUGAUAUUAUUCAGUUAUAAUGUCUGGUUGUAUUGAACAUAAUACCGUAUUCGAGGAAAUUCUUUUGCUCUUUUCAGGAAAGCCACUAAAGAAUUUACCAAGUAUUUUUACAG
rnacentral:lncRNA from 1 species